rnacentral:tRNA from 1 species
AAUCUUAUAGUUUAACUAAAAACAUUAAAGUGCAAAUUUAAAAAUAAAUAAUUAUUAAGAUUU